UGGAUAGGUUGCCUGAAGAAAUGAAUGAAUGAUAUGAAGAUAAGGGAUGACAAGGAAAUGGAAACUGUCGUGGUCGAUGGAAAUGGCACAGAGAUGGGUGAUAUAAUCGUGACAACUAUUGGGGGUAGAAAUGGCCAACCAAAGCUGAAACAGCAGAUGAUGAGAGUAUUAGCGUGUUGGAAGUACCUAGCUGGUGCAUGAAGGCAAUAUGACGUUAGAAGAUUUCCUCACCCCAACUGAGAUGAAAGAUGGACUCACAAACCUUGCUAGAGUUGAAGAGUCGGUUGCUGUUAUGCAGAGGUAGAGAGAAAAUAUUACGAAGAAUGUAGGUAAUGCAUCCAGACAAUGGUCAAUUGUAGCAAGUACCUUAUCAGCGACAGAGAAGAAUGGUUGCCUUAAUCAUUUUCUUCAGUUAGACGGGCAUAGGUUUCUUAACCAAUGGCUCCAGGAAGCUCAAAAGUGUAGUGGUGGCAUAAGCAACAGUUCUAUGGAAGAUUCAAUCAGUACAGUGCUAGGAGCACUUGAGAAGCUGCCUCUAGA